AGUGAACGCUGGCGGUAGGCCUAACACAUGCAAGUCGAACGGCAGCACAGUAAGAGCUUGCUCUUACGGGUGGCGAGUGGCGGACGGGUGAGGAAUACAUCGUAAUCUACUUUUUCGUGGGGGAUAACGUAGGGAAACUUACGCUAAUACCGCAUACGACCUACGGGUGAAAGCAGGGGAUCUUCGGACCUUGCGCGAUUGAAUGAGCCGAUGUCGGAUUAGCUAGUUGGCGGGGUAAAGGCCCACCAAGGCGACGAUCCGUAGCUGGUCUGAGAGGAUGAUCAGCCACACUGGAACUGAGACACGGUCAAGAGUCCUACGGGAGGCCGCAGUCGGGAAUAUUAGACAAUGGGCGGAAGCAUGAUACAGCCAUCCCGCGUGGGUGAAGAAGGCCUUCGGGUUGUAAAGCCCUUUUGUUGGGAAAGAAAAGCAGCAGGUUAAUACCCAGCUGUUCUGACGGUACCCAAAGAAUAAGCACCGGCUAACUUCGUG
rnacentral:rRNA from 1 species